rnacentral:tmRNA from 4 species
GGGGAUGCCGGGUUUCGAUAGAAGCGUUUUUAAAAUAAGCAAGCCGAGCUCAAAAUCUCGCUAAACUUUUGGCAAAAUAUAAGUGCAAACUUAUUUUCCAAAGCUAAGAGCGCUAUUGCUUCAAUCUUUAACGUUCCAAGCUUAAUUCCUGCCUACGUUUAAAUCCGUAGGCCAUCCGGCUAACUGACUCUCGAUAAGUUAGUUUGGGUGUCAAAUUAUCGAGAUAGAUAAUUUAGCCGUCUUGAAUAAAUUAUUGAAAAAAUACAAGACAAGAAUUAAGAAUAUUUUGCUUGAUUUUAAAUUUUUAAUUCUCAUCAUAAAUCAAGCUAAGCUUGUAGAAUUAUUUUAGAAGGGUUUUCUACACGCGAGUUCAACUCUCGCCAUCUCCACCA